GUGGGUGAUAGCCCCGUACGCGAAAGGAUCUUUGAAGUGAAAUCGAGUAGGACGGAGCACGAGAAACUUUGUCUGAACAUGGGGGGACCAUCCUCCAAGGCUAAAUACUACUGACUGACCGAUAGUGAACCAGUACCGUGAGGGAAAGGCGAAAAGAACCCCGGAGAGGGGAGUGAAAUAGAACCUGAAACCGUAUGCGUACAAGCAGUGGGAGCCUACUUGUUAGGUGACUGCGUACCUUUUGUAUAAUGGGUCAGCGACUUAUAUUCAGUGGCAAGCUUAACCGUAUAGGGUAGGCGUAGCGAAAGCGAGUCUUAAUAGGGCGUUUAGUCGCUGGGUAUAGACCCGAAACCGGGCGAUCUAUCCAUGAGCAGGUUGAAGGUUAGGUAACACUGACUGGAGGACCGAACCCACUCCCGUUGAAAAGGUAGGGGAUGACUUGUGGAUCGGAGUGAAAGGCUAAUCAAGCUCGGAGAUAGCUGGUUCUCCUCGAAAGCUAUUUAGGUAGCGCCUCAUGUAUCACUCUGGGGGGUAGAGCACUGUUUCGGCUAGGGGGUCAUCCCGACUUACCAAACCGAUGCAAACUCCGAAUACCCAGAAGUGCCGAGCAUGGGAGACACACGGCGGGUGCUAACGUCCGUCGUGAAAAGGGAAACAACCCAGACCGCCAGCUAAGGUCCCAAAGUUGUGGUUAAGUGGUAAACGAUGUGGGAAGGCUUAGACAGCUAGG
rnacentral:rRNA from 1 species